GGCCUCGUAGCUCAGGGGAUAGAGCACCGCUCUCCUAAAGCGGGUGUCGCUGGUUCGAUUCCAGCCGGGGCCACCA
rnacentral:tRNA from 2 species